AAUGAACGUUGGCGGCAUGGAUUAGGCAUGCAAGUCGAGCGAGAAGAGUUUUGAAGCUUGCUUUAGAACUCGGACAGCGGCGAAAGGGAGAGUAACGCGUAGUUAUGUGCCCUAGGGUCCGGAAUAGCCACGGGAAACUGUGGGUAAUGCCGGAUAAUAUCCCCGGAUCAAAGGUGUGAUUCCGCCCUAGGAGCAGACUGCGUCCUACUAGCAAGUUGGUGGGGUAAUGGCCCACCAAGGCAAUGAUGGGUAGCGGGUGUGAGAGCAUGACCCGUCUCACUGGGACUGAGACACUGCCCAGACACCUACGGGUGGCUGCAGUCGAGAAUCUUCGGCAAUGGGCGAAAGCCUGACCGAGCGAUGCCGCGUGCGGGAUGAAGGCCCUCGGGUUGUAAACCGCUGUCGUAGGGGAGGAAGGUUCCGUGAAGAGCGGGACUUGACCUAUCCUAGGAGGAAGUACGGGCUAAGUUCGUGCCAGCAGCCGCAGUAAAAC
rnacentral:rRNA from 1 species